rnacentral:rRNA from 1 species
AUUGAACGCUGGCGGCAUGCUUUACACAUGCAAGUCGAACGGCAGCGCGGGCUUCGGCCUGGCGGCGAGUGGCGAACGGGUGAGUAAUACAUCGGAACGUGCCCAGUAGUGGGGGAUAGCUCGGCGAAAGCCGGAUUAAUACCGCAUACGACCUGAGGGUGAAAGCGGGGGAUCUUCGGACCUCGCGCUAUUGGAGCGGCCGAUGGCAGAUUAGCUAGUUGGUGGGGUAAAGGCCUACCAAGGCGACGAUCUGUAGCUGGUCUGAGAGGACGACCAGCCACGCUGGGAAUGAGACAAGGCCCAGAGGCCUACGGGAGGAAGAAGUGGGGAAUGUUGGAGAAUGGCGGCAGUCAUGAUCCAGAGAUGGCGCGGGAGGGAAGAAGGUCUUCGGGUUGUAAAGCGCGUUUGUUCGGGAAGAAAGCAUAGGGGCUAAUAACCCGGGGGGAGGAGGGGAGGGGAAGAAGAAGAGACGGCGCUCUACGGG